rnacentral:rRNA from 1 species
CCUACGGGUGGCAGCAGUGGGGAAUAUUGCGCAAUGGGCGAAAGACUGACGCAGCGACGCCGCGUGAGGGAUGAAGGUCUUCGGGUCGUAAACCUCUUUCUGCAGGGCAGAAAGGGCCCUGUGCUAAUCCGCAGUGAAUUGACGGUACCUGCAAAGGCAGCCCCGGCUAACUCCGUGCCAGCAGCCGCGGUAAUACGGAGGGUGCGAGCGUUGAUCGGAAUUACUGGUCGUAAAGCGCGCGUAGGCGGUAUGUCACGUCACUGGUGAAAUACCCGCGCUCAACGUGGGAACUGCAUGUGAAACUGGCAAACUGGAGUGUGUGAGAGGAUAGUGGAAGUCGAGGUGUAGGAGUGAAAUCCGUAGAUAUCGGGAGGAACAGCAGUGGCGAAGGCGACAAUCUGGCACAAAACUGACGCUGAGGUGCGAAAGCGUGGGUAGCAAACAGGAUUAGAUACCCCAGUAGUC